UUCCAGACUCCUACGGGAGGCAGCAGUGGGGAAUAUUGCACAAUGGGGGGAACCCUGAUGCAGCAACGCCGCGUGGGUGAAGAAGUAUUUCGGUAUGUAAAGCCCUAUCAGCAGGGAAGAAGAUGACGGUACCUGACCAAGAAGCCCCGGCUAACUACGUGCCAGCAGCCGCGGUAAUACGUAGGGGGCAAGCGUUAUCCGGAUUUACUGGGUGUAAAGGGAGCGUAGACGGCGAAGAAAGUCUGAAGUGAAAGCCCGGGGCUCAACCGCGGGACUGCUUUUGAAACUGUUAAGCUUGAGUGCAGGAGAGGUAAGCGGAAUUCCUAGUGUAGCGGUGAAAUGCGUAGAUAUUAGGAGGAACACCAGUGGCGAAGGCGGCUUACUGGACUGUAACUGACACUGAGGCUCGAAAGCGUGGGGAGCAAACAGGAUUAGAUACCCUGGUA
rnacentral:rRNA from 1 species